UGAGGGUUGUCACUAUUUUUCCCUUUUUAUUAAAGUUAAAGGUGGAAAUGUAGAAGAAUUUCUCAAAUUUUGGAAAAAAGUUUGUAAUUUGUUUGUCCAAUAUAAGAUAGUCUUGCCAAAAGUCUAUAGAUGUAUGUGGAAGUAGUGAGAUAUAACAGCUUGAAUAGUGAAUUUCAGCUUAAUUUGCUUUUUCUGGAAAGAUUUGCUCUUUGUCCAGUUAUUUCUUACAGUUUAUCCUCUCCUCAGUAUUCAAUAGGUGCCGGGGACAUUGCUUAGAAAGACAGAACUGCAUCGAAGACCUUCAGAAUGGUCCUAUCAGAAAGAAUUGGAAUUCCAGUGUACCCAGGUCAAGUGGUUUUGAAGACUCAGCACAUCUCAUGCAACCAGUCCACAAUAAGCCUGUUAAGCAAGGACCUAGGUAUAAUCUACAUCAGAUCCAGGGUCACUCAGCUCCUCGACAUUUCCACACCCAGACCCAAAAUUUGCAACAAUCAGUCAGAGUCUCGUUCUGUCAUCCAGGCUGGAGUACA